GGGGUUUAAUAACACAGAUAAGGCAAUCAGGAACUCUGAGGGGAGAGCUGGGGGAAUUGCGUGUUUAUGGAAUAGGGAGGUAUUCGAAGCAUCUAGUUCUUGGGAUUUACCGGGGGCCGUGGUUGUUAACGGUAGGUAUAAGGAGGGCGGUCUCUUGUGUUGCAUUAUCAAUGUUUAUGCGCCAACUGAAUCAAAGGAUAAGAGGAUUCUCUGGGAUGCAAUUGGUUCUAUUGUUGAACAGAAUAUGGAUCGAAGUGUGUGUAUUUU
rnacentral:lncRNA from 1 species